rnacentral:rRNA from 1 species
AGUGAACGCUGGCGGUAGGCCUAACACAUGCAAGUCGAACGGCAGCACAGUAAGAGCUUGCUCUUACGGGUGGCGAGUGGCGGACGGGUGAGGAAUACAUCGGAAUCUACUUUUUCGUGGGGGAUAACGUAGGGAAACUUACGCUAAUACCGCAUACGACCUUCGGGUGAAAGCAGGGGAUCUUCGGACCUUGCGCGAUUGAAUGAGCCGAUGUCGGAUUAGCUAGUUGGCGGGGUAAAGGCCCACCAAGGCGACGAUCCGUAGCCGGUCGGUGAGGAUGAUCCGCCACACUGGAACUGAGCCACCGUCCAGACUCCUACGGGAGGCAGCAGUGGGGAAUAUUGGACAAUGGGCGCAAGCCUGAUCCAGCCAUACCGCGUGGGUGAAGAAGGCCUUCGGGUUGUAAAGCCCUUUUGUUGGGAAAGAAAAGCAGCAGGUUAAUACCCCGCUGUUCUGACGGUACCCAAAGAAUAAGCACCGGCUAACUUCGUG